UGGGGAAUAUUGGGCAAUGGGCGAAAGCCUGACCCAGCAACGCCGCGUGAGGGAAGAAGGUUUUCGGAUUGUAAACCUCUGUCCUUGGGGACGAAGUUCUGACGGUACCCAAGGAGGAAGCCCCGGCUAACUACGUGCCAGCAGCCGCGGUAAUACGUAGGGGGCGAGCGUUGUCCGGAAUUACUGGGCGUAAAGGGUGCGUAGGCGGCAGUUUAAGUCAGAUGUGAAAUCCCCGGGCUCAACCCGGGUAUUGCAUUUGAAACUGGGCGGCUAGAGUGCAGGAGAGGGAAGCGGAAUUCCUAGUGUAGCGGUGAAAUGCGUAGAUAUUAGGAGGAACACCAGUGGCGAAGGCGGCUUUCUGGACUGCAACUGACGCUGAGGCACGAAAGCGUGGGGAGCAAACAG
rnacentral:rRNA from 1 species